AUUGAACGCUGGCGGCAUGCUUUACACAUGCAAGUCGAACGAGUGGCGAACGGGUGAGUAAUAUAUCGGAACGUACCGAGUAAUGGGGGAUAACCAAUCGAAAGAUUGGCUAAUACCGCAUAUUAUUCGACCGGCAGAUAACUUAUUAGCUAGUUGGUGGGGUAAAGGCCUACCAAGGCGACGAUCAGUAGCGGGUCUGAGAGGACGAUCGGCCACCCUGGGACUGAGAUACGGCCCAGCCUCAUACGGGAGUCAUCUGUGGGGAAUUUUGGACAAUGGGGGCAACCCUGAGCCAGCAACGCCGCGUGUAUGAAGAGGGCCUUCGGGUUGUAAAGUACUUUUGUUAGGGAAGCGGUACCUAAAGAAUAAGCACCGGCUAACUACGUGCCAGCAGCCGCGGUAAUAC
rnacentral:rRNA from 1 species